UUGUUGAAUAUGCAGUAUGAUUGGAUGAGAUAGAAGCAUUAGGAUUUUAUAUAAAUUCUGAAUCAGUGUAUCUCUCUUGGUCUCAAUCUGUGUGACUGUUGACAUUUUCUUGCAAAAAAUAAAUCUCCAAAAGACUUUUUGUCUCAUGCCUUUAUUGAAAUAGAAACUUGCCAUGACUAGUUAUUUCUUGUAUCAUUUAAUUAAGUAAUUAAUUGACUGUAUCAUAAUAUUUUUGUGGUUCUGUCCUAAAAUGAUUUGCAUCCUUCUAUGGUGAUUUUUGUGAAUUACAUCGCUGCAAAUCGAGUCUAAUGAACUUCAACAUAUUGUGCCUUUCUGUGGUGAUUUUUCUGAAUUACACAGCUGCAAUAACCUGACAAAACCUGAGGUACUCUUGUAGAAAUGUUUUGUUUAUCUUUGUUUUUUCCAAUGAGACUUGUGUGAAAGGUCCAAAAAACAAAUAUGUUGGAAAGAAGUUAUUUCUUUUAUCAUUUAAUUAAGUAAUUGCAUUAACUGUAUUGUAAUAUUUUUCCUUUUUUGUGUGGUUUUGUUCUUUCCUAAAAUGAUUUCCAUCCUCCUGUGGUAAUUUUUCUGAAUUACGAGUUUAAUUAACUGAAUUAUCGAGUUUUAUAAAUGGGUUACGCCCUCCUGUGGGGAUUCAAGUGAAUUACGCCGCUGCAAAUCGAAUCUAAUGAACUUAAACGGGUUGACAGAGUAGCAUGUGACACUGCAAAAUUUAGUAGACAUUUAGUAACAUUUAUUCAAAUCAUAUUUUUUUCUGUAAACAUUCUUGAGGACAUGUAUUAACUAUUAUUUACACUAAUAUGUUGGUUCUGCAGUAUGGAGUAAUUAUGUAUGUCUUUAUCCUACAGAAUAAAGGAUGUGUUUGACCACCCAGUCAACAGAAGCAGAGCUCUGGGACGGGUGGACAGACAUUCGCUGUAAUGAUGGACAUCAGCUCAUGGACAGGAAAGCCAUCAUCUGUAAUGUCACUGAGUGCUACAGGGAGACCGGACAGUGCCAAACCACAUGUGACCAUAUGAACACCCAGAUGUGUUUGAGAACUUGAGGAUGAAAUGCAAUGUAGUACUUAAAGCUGCUCAUGGCCAGGCCAGAUACUGACUGCUUCUUUUGAUAUUGAUCACAUAUUAAUACAUUUGGUGGACACAGUUGAAAGUGAGAGGAUGUCUUUUGUUUAUAUGCAGUAUUGGUCAAAGUCACACUAUACAUUACUAUUAGUAUUAGAUUUAUUACUAUUAGACACAUUACUAUUUUUAAUGUUUUUAAAAGACGUCUCUUAUGCUCAUCAAGCCUCCAUUUUAUUUGAUCAAAAAUACAGACAAAAACAGUAAUAUUGUGAAAUAUUAUUACAUUUUAAAAUAAUGGUUUUGUUUUAAUAUUCUUUAUAUUUAUUUGUGAUGCAAAGCUGAAUUUUCAUCAGCCUUAACUCGUCUUGUCACAUGAUCCUUCAGAGAUCAUUCUUAUGUGCAGAUUUGAUAUUUGGUUAUUGUCAGUGUUGGAAAAAAUUGUGCUGCUUAAUAUUUUUCUGGAACCUGUGAUGCUUUAUACAGAACUGAUUGAUUGAAUCCUGGCAGGGAUUUUCAAAAUAUAGAAAUCUUUCCUAACAGUAUGUCCUUACUAUCACUUUUUUAAUCAAUUUAAAAUCCUUGCUGAAUACAUGUAUUAAUAUUCUUUCAAAAAAAAUAAAUAAAUAAAAUACUGACCCCAAACUUUUGAACAGUAGUAGCAUGUUGUUACAAAAUAUUUACAUUUUAAAUAAAUGCUGUUCUUUUAUUCUUCAAAGAAUCCUAAAAUUAUCACAGGUUAUAAAAAAUAUUAAGCAGCACAAUUGUUUCCAACACCGAUAAUAAGCAUAUUAGAAUGAUUUCUGAAGGAUCAUGUGACACUGAUAACUGGAGUAAUUAUGCUAUAAAUUCAGAUUUGAUCACAGAAAUAAAUUAUAUUUUAAAGCACAUUAAAAUAGAAAACCAUUAUUUUAAAUUGUAAUAUUUCAAAAUAUGACUCUUUUUGUCUGUAUUUUUGAUCAAUUAAAUGCAGGCUUGAUGAGCAUUGGAGACUUCUUUCAAAAAGUCUGUUUUGUUUUGUUUUUCUCGUCUGGUCGACGCUACAGAGUUCUGAGCACCAGAACGACCAGCACAGGAACAGUUUCUUCCCUCAGGCAAUCCAUCUCAUGAACACCUGACAAUAAUUGUGGAACACACACUAUUUAUACACUUAUUUAUCUAACACACAUACUUAGUCUACAUUUCAAUUGCACAUAAUAUACCUGUACAUAUAACUGUCUAUUGUUAUAUACCUGUACAUGCAAUUGUCAAUUUGUAUAUUGUAAUUCCUUAUUUACUUGUUCUAUUGUUUAAUUCUUCUUUUUAUUAUCUGUGUUUUUUGUCCUGUCGCUGUCAUUCUGUUGCACUGUGGAAGCUUCUGUCACAAAAAAAACCAAAUUCCUCGUAUGUGUAAACAUACCUGGCAAUAAAGCUCAUUCUGAUUCGGAAAAACAUUAAAAAUAAUAUACAGACUGACCCAGCAAUGCAAGUGAAAUGUCAACUAAUCAGCUCCCCGGACAUCUUGGCGACAAACCAUGAUAAGUACGUAAGUGACACUGUUUGUCUAGCUUCAGUUUAACCAAACAUAAGACUGAUGUCAUCCAUUGUACGAACAAAUGAUCCCAAACUUUCCGCUAUGGAGUUAAUUGUAAGCAUCCAGACUGCGAUACAUUUACCGCCAUAUCUCGCAUACACGCACAGGCAGCAUCAGUCAGAGCCGCUUUGAGCUGUCCGGAAGACUACUUUUAAUGCUCCUUGUAGGUUUGCUCCUCAGACAUAUUUAGGGUAUUCCAAUAACCGUUUAUUUAUUUAUUAAAUAACUUAAAUAUUACGCGCUUGUUUUGACAGAUCUGAGAUUUAAAAAUGGCGCUACCGGAAAUGCUUCAGGGCCAGACAUGCGCAGUAGAGUUCCAACGCCUUUGUUAUUGUUUACGCCCUUGAAAUGGUCUAUAUAUAUAUAUAUAUUAGGGGUGUGACGAGACGCUUACUCCACGAGACGAGACGAGACACGAGAUUGGGUUCACGAGAACGAGACGAGACGAGAUUUUUACACUAUUUUUAAGAAAUCCUCAAUGAUGAAAUAUAUGAAUGGAAAAUAGUAUUUUAUUCAAAUGAAAAUCACAAAAUGCAAAACAAUUUAGGUGCAUUUUGAAACCAACUUGUAAUUAAUGUUAUUUUACUUGUAUUUUAAUGAAUUCUAUGCAGUAAAGAACAUGCAAACACUGCAAAAUGUUUUGCUAUAAACUCUACCGACUGGCUUCUCCCCUUUACCAUUUCACAUGACGGUGGAAGAGAUGCAAAGGCAUUUAGAGUUGUUUGCCCUUUUAAUUUUUUCAUCACAGGUGCGGCUGGUUUUAGUAGAGAGCUGUGGUAGUUCUGUAUGUGUCUUUGCAUAGUGCUCGUGUUAGCCGCGGUGUACGGCAUUGUUUUCUUACAAUGUUUACAUAUUGUGUUCGUCUUAUCUGUCACUCUUUCGCCGUUUCUUAUUUCCACUGGAAAACCAAAAUGUUGCCACUAGUGUUGUCACGGUACCAAAAUUUCAGUAUUCGGUACCGAUACCAGUCAAAAUCCACGGUUCUCGGUACCAAUUUCGGUACCACAUGCUAAUUAAAAAAAACACACUAUUUUUAAUAAAGUCAAACAAAAAUAAAAAUGUUCAAAAAUCAAUGCCAUUCUUUAUACUUUAUUUAAAUUGUGUUUCAAGUUUUUCCGCAAGUAAUAAAAGUAUGAAAAACAUUAAACAGGUUUCACCCAAAUUUAAUUUGUCUUUUAAUUAAUUAAAUUUAAACACAUUGUAUUGUUUUGGUAAAUAAAGGGGAUUUACUAUUAAAAUUAAACUAUGGAAGAAAUAUUGUGACUUCUUUAAAAAGAUAAAAAAUAAAUUUAAAAAAUUAUAUAUAUGUAAAAUUAUAUUUCUGGCACAAUGUCUUUAAGAUGAACUUUUAUUUUGACGGGUUGCCGUGAAUACCUUUACAUUUCUGUGUAGCUAUAUGAUAUGAAGCUGGUUUUACUCAAUGAAACGGUAAAAUGCUCGCGAGGGGACUCUCAGAGCAGUUCUGUAGAUGUUGUUUAUGUAUUUAUGUCCUCAUUGAG